GACGAACGCUGGCGGCGUGCUUAACACAUGCCAGUCGAACGGAAAGGCCUGCUUUCCCUUGUGGAUUGCGGGUACUCGAGUGGCGAACGGGUGAGUAACACGUGAGUGAUCUGCCCCCAACUUGGGUAUAAGCCUGGGAAACUGGGUCUAAUUCCCGAUAGGACUGCAGGGUGGUGCCUGUGGUGGAAAACGAUUUUCUAGUGGUUGGGGAUGAGCUCGCGGCCUAUCAGCUGGUUGGUGGGGUAAUGGCCUACCAAGGCGGCGACGGGUAGCCGGCCUGAGAGGGUGGACGGCCACAUUGGGACUGAGAUACGGCCCAGACUCCUACGGGAGGCAGCAGUGGGGAAUAUUGCACAAUGGGCGGAAGCCUGAUGCAGCGACGCCGCGUGGGGGAUGACGGCCUUCGGGUUGUAAACUCCUUUCGACCGCGAGGAAGCCACCUGGUUGGAAGGGUGGUGACGGUAGUGGUAGAAGAAGCACCGGCUAACUACGUG
rnacentral:rRNA from 1 species